rfam:Salmo salar isolate Sally breed double haploid chromosome ssa01, whole genome shotgun sequence.
UCCCUUGUGGCUCACUUGAUAGAGCAUGGUGCUUGCAAUGCCACGGUUGUGGGUUCAAUUCCCACAGGGAA